UCGUAUAGUAAAUAUAUGGAGUAAACUUCCUGCAGAAAUUGUGAACAAUAUUGAAAUUGUGAAAGCAAUAUUAUUGAAUCAGUUCAUCCUAAACAUUUGCACUUUGUUUUUCCACAGAGCAAUAAGAAAUUAGAAUUGACAGAGAAACCAGACAAGGGACUGCAUUUGAAGAAGCACCAAGAACCAAGAAAUUUACAUAGCUUUCAUUUUGGUUUACAUUCUGAAAGAUAGAAAUCAAAAACGUCACAAGACAGAAUAGUGAGCUGCAUGCACUUAUCACAGAGUAUAAAGUCACUCCCUCAGAGGAAAAAGACAAGGAUGGCAUGUCUUCAUGUGAGAACUCAGAAGCUAAAUGUACAGAUACCAAGGGGAAAUUGCUGGGUCAAGUGGGCUACACUGACAUCUGAGGUUAGCAGGUUGGAGAGUGAGUGCAGCAGUCUUCAGGUUCAGCUAGACUGUGAGAGGGAUAAGUAUAACAAACUGCUGGGAGAAUCUCUUGCUCAUGAAAAGUUUGUCUGAAGAUGUCAUAACUGAACCAAAAGGUAAGAAAGUUUAUAUUCUCUAAUAAUAAAGCAAAUAAUUUUUCCUCACUGUUGCUCAAUUUUUUGAAUUAAUAACAAAAUAAAAGCAUUGUUAUUGGAUUUGUUUAUUGAGGCUGUAUUAAGAAAAGUUGAGAGAAACAAACUUAUUGUUUUAUCAGGAGAAACAACAGGAUUGGGAGGAACUGAGCUUUAACAGAAGCUGCAACAACUGCAGGAGGCUCACAGGGUCCUGGAGAGCAGGUUAACUUGCAGCAUGAAGGAGGUGGCUGAGCUAAGUGACAGGAAGUAGCAGCUUAAGCAUGCUGUAGUGCAUGAGGAGACAGAGUCCAUCGGUGUAUGCAUGUUUUUUGCUCAUUUGAAUCAUCUGUAAAAGUGAAGUGGAGGAAGUGUUUACUGUUUACUGUAUGCCAUUUCCUUGGUCUUUUAAUGAAGAAUUUUAUCCUUCUUCAGGUGACUACAUCACCAUCUACCAGUUGCAGCGAGGAGUGAUGAAGCAACAAGCUCGAGAACGCGAGUUAGACCUUGCCAGCCUCCAUCAUGAAUGAGAGGAAAUGAAGCAAAACCACUCUGCAGGAUUUGAUAUCAAAGCUGGUGCAGGAAAAGGAAGCAGAUCAUGACCUUCAGCAGCUCGAGAAGAUAAGCAGCGUCCUUAAGAGUCCAGUUGCUAUCUUUAGCAGUGUUGGAACCAGUGAGUCUAAGACACCCCACCAGCAGUGGAAAGGUGGCUGACGAGCGCCUCAAGCACUCUGAAAAGGUGGAGCAACAACAAGAAACAGAAAAUUGCAUCCAUCAUUCUUUGCCUGAGGAGGGAAUUGAUGCUCUGUUGACCCUUCACACUGAUGUCCCUCAUGAGGAGGCAGAAUAUGAAUCCUACAGAACUUGCCCAUAGGAAAGACCAAAACUGUUACUGCUGCCCACACUGCCACCACUUCCACUGACACCAAAAGCCCAACUGUGCAGAGAAUCCUGGACCCUCCGCAAUGAAAUGGAGUCCACCAGUCACCUGGAGCACUUUAGCCUCCAAAAGUUCCAUCCGUGUCCAUUGUGUUUGGGUAAACUUAUCACUGUAUAAGGGGACAAGUAUCAGUGUAUGGUUACUAUAUACUCAUUUGUACUUAAAGAUGUCAUGUCACAUCAUUCUCUCUCUCUCUCUCUCUCUCUCUCUCUCUCUCUCUCUCUCUCUCCCUCUCUCUCUCUCUCUCUCUCUCUCUCUCUCUCUCUCUCUCUCUCUCUCUGUUUGGAAUUAUACUGUAUAUUAGGAAAUAUCAUUAAAGAGUGUGUGUGUAAAAAGUGUUUGCCAUUAUUGUGCAUUUGAUGUUGGGUUUCAUGAUUUAUAAAGAUUGCUAUUUUUAAUAAAGUUAUUGAAAUUGUUAUUGAGUGUUUGUAUUGAACUCAUUAGCUUUGUAAUAGUGUGCGUCUCAUCAUGCAUUCAUUAAUGAUGUAGAGUGGAAAUGUCCACUCCUAUCAUGCAUAAUAUCAAUGCAUUAUUGGUUUAUGUUGUUAUUUGUGUAUAAAUUGUAAAGUUAUGCCAGUCUAUUUUAGUACAAACUAAAUAUCAGCUGGAAGAGAGGACAGGUAAUGGCACACUAAAACACAGGAAGGGACAAUGAUAUAACCAUCCAAUUUAACAAUACACAGAGCAAGAAGAAUGAGAAAGCAAUAAAAAUGGAUUAUUUAA